rnacentral:rRNA from 1 species
CACUCCUACGGGAGGCAGCAGUGGGGAAUUUUGGACAAUGGGCGAAAGCCUGAUCCAGCAAUGCCGCGUGAGUGAAGAAGGCCUUCGGGUUGUAAAGCUCUUUUGUCAGGGAAGAAACGGUGAAAGCUAAUAUCUUUUGCUAAUGACGGUACCUGAAGAAUAAGCACCGGCUAACUACGUGCCAGCAGCCGCGGUAAUACGUAGGGUGCAAGCGUUAAUCGGAAUUACUGGGCGUAAAGCGUGCGCAGGCGGUUUUGUAAGUCUGAUGUGAAAUCCCCGGGCUCAACCUGGGAAUUGCAUUGGAGACUGCAAGGCUAGAAUCUGGCAGAGGGGGGUAGAAUUCCACGUGUAGCAGUGAAAUGCGUAGAUAUGUGGAGGAACACCGAUGGCGAAGGCAGCCCCCUGGGUCAAGAUUGACGCUCAUGCACGAAAGCGUGGGGAGCAAACAGGAUUAGAUACCCGGGUAGUCCCAU